UCCAUUUACUAUUUAUUUUCUUCCAUUUACUAUUUAUUUUCUUUUUGGACUAUUAGUUAUAUUCUAUUUGCAUUAUUAUUUAUAUUUCUGUUAUUGGGCUUGUUUAGUGGGUUUGGCCCAAGCCCUUCUCUUUAGAGUUUAUGUUCUACUAUUUAUUUCUAUUUUGUUUCUCAUUUGAGACAGUUGAUGAUGAAUUAGAAUUGAAAUAUUUUUGGUGGCUUGCAGCCGUUUUCUCCCUCCCCUCUCUUCCCCUGGUUUCUUCUCCUCUUCUCCCUUCUCUCUGUUUCUCCUCCCCGUUCCUUCUUCUUUCUUUCUUAUUCAUCCUACAUCAAAUUUGGUAUCAGAACCGAAUCUUGGGUACUUUCUUUUACAAUCUAAAAUCUCUUAUUUUCUCUCAAAAUCUGUUGGAACAGCACGAACUAAAAGAAUAUUUGGUACAGGCAGCAGUUUUUUUCUUCUUCUUCAAUUUUCAGUCUUAGGGAAAAAAAAAAACACUGUUCACGGGGGGUACUGUUCACACCCGGAAUUUUAGUUUUUUUUAAUAGAUUUUUCAGCAGUUUCACAAAAAAAAAAAAAAACGUUACUGUUCACGGGUACUGUUCACACCCGAAUUUUUUAUUUUUUAUUUUUUUGUUUAUCGUUUUCUACAGUUCCCAAAAAAAAAAAAAAAAGUUGAAAAAAAAAGAAAAAGGGAAAAACAAGUGAAAAAAAAAAGAAAAAAAGAAAAAGGAAAAAAAAAGUGAAAAAAAGCGAAACAAAAAAAGAAAAAAAAAAGGAAAAAAAAAAAAGAGAAGAAACGUCUUUUCUAUUAUUUACAGGUACAUCUUUUAUUCUGGUUGAUCUGGCUUGACUACUUCG
rnacentral:lncRNA from 1 species